rnacentral:rRNA from 1 species
AACGAACGCUGGCGGCGUGUCUUAAGCAUGCAAGUCGAGCGGCAAGGAAGUGCUUGCACUUCCCUAGAGCGGCGGACUGGUGAGUAACGCGUGGGUGAUCUACCUCGGGGUUGGGGAUAGCCAUUAGAAAUAGUGGGUAAUACCGAAUACGCUUCCAGGGCUACGGCCUUGGAAGGAAAGGCGCUACGGCGCCGACCUGAGAUGAGCCCGCGUCCCAUUAGCUAGUUGGUGAGGUAACGGCCCACCAAGGCGAUGAUGGGUAGGCGGCCUGAGAGGGUGUACGCCCACAUUGGGACUGAGAUACGGCCCAAACUCCUACGGGAGGCAGCAGCUAAGAAUAUUCCGCAAUGGACGAAAGUCUGACGGAGCGACGCCGCGUGGAUGAUGAAGGCCGGAAGGUUGUAAAAUCCUUUUGUCGGGGAAGAAUAAGCGCGGGAGGGAAUGCCCGCGUGAUGACAUGAACCGGCGAAUAAGCCCCGGCUAACUACGUGCCAGCAGCCGCGGUAAAGU